UGGGGAGAAGCCCAGCAGGGCCCUUGUCACCUACCACCCAAGGGCAAGUCCUGUCCCUGACCUCUAGCUAAAGGGGCCAGGGGCCUCAGAGCUGGAGACGGUCACGACCUGUGCACAAGGCUGGGCACAGGGGGCCAGGUGGAGGGGACAGAGAGGAGCUGCCGUGAGAAGGAGGGGACCCCUGAGACUGGAAGGAGCAGCAGUGGCUGUAACAAGAGGAAGGAGACAAGGCUGGCUUUAAAUUCCAGCUGUGCCAUCUUGGGCAUGUCACUUCACCUCUCUGACCGGCAGUGUGUGCUCUCCAGAGUGGAGACACUCAUGGCUGUCUCAUAGUCUUAUUAAACGGACGGAACUAGGCUGGCAUCGAGAAGACCUUUAACAAAAGGAGCUCCCCUCCCAUUCAUCUCCCUCCAACCAGAGCGCUGGGCAGCAGCUGUCUCCAUGUUCCAGGCAAGGGGCUCACUCCGAGGGAGAGAUUCUGGAUUCAGAAGCAUCAAAUCUUCGUGCCCCCUGAGAUCUGAUGAGCGAGGGUUACAGAGAAGGAAGUAUGACAUUGUGUGAUUGUUCUCAAAGUCUGGUCCCUGGACCACCAGCAUCAGCGUCACCUGGGAACGCGUUAGAAAUGCAGAUUCUCCCCUUGCUCACGCAGCAGACUGACUGAAUCCGAAAUUCUGGGGUGGGGCCCAGCCAGCGGUGUGUUAACUGACCUUCCAGGAGAUUCUCAUCUGCUAGAGUCAAGAGCCACGAUUAAGAGCUCAGAUGGAACGUGAACAGACUUUGCUUCAAAUGCCAGCUCUGCCACCUAUCGCUUGGAGGUCCCAGUUAGCUCACUGAAGCAAGAAAAAGAUAUGAAAGGCAUCCAGAUUGGAAAAGAAGAAGUGAAACUGCCUUUGUGCACAGAUGACACGAUCGUCAAUGGAGAAGAUCUGAUGGAAUCUACAGUAAAGCUACUAGAACUAAGAGACUAUUUCUGAAAUCUGGACGUGAGAGCAACUUGAAGGGAAAAAUUGAUGGGAGCCGAGGAGGCAGCCUGUGAAUCUGUUCUGUUAUCACUUGGGCAAGUCGCAUCACCUCUCUGAUCCUCUGUUUCAUCAUCUGUGAAAUAAAAAUGAUAACAGCACCUAUUGCACCUUCCGUAGGCAAAUGGCUUUCCCUCCCCGUGGCCGGCUCUGAGGAAGGGCUGAGUGGCCAUAGCUGCAAGGAUUCAG
rnacentral:lncRNA from 1 species